rnacentral:rRNA from 1 species
CUCAGUUCGGAUUGCAGGCUGCAACUCGCCUGCAUGAAGCUGGAAUUGCUAGUAAUCGCGGAUCAGCAUGCCGCGGUGAAUACGUUCCCGGGCCUUGUACACACCGCCCGUCACACCAUGAGAGUCGGGAACACCCGAAGUCCGUAGUCUAACCGCAAGGAGGGCGCGGCCGAAGGUGGGUCCGGUAAUUGGGGUGAAGUCGUAACAAGGUACC